rnacentral:rRNA from 1 species
GAUGAACGCUGGCGGCGUGCUUAAUACAUGCAAGUCGAACGGAGACUGUAGCAAUACUGUCUUAGUGGCGAACGGGUGAGUAACGCGUUGGUGACCUGCCCCGAAGAGGGGGAUAACAGUCCGAAAGGAUUGCUAAUACCCCAUGUGGUCGUUUGGAUUAGAUGCCUUACGACUAAACGGAUUUAUUCGCUUCGGGAGGGGCCUGCGUCCCAUCAGCUAGUUGGUAGGGUAAUAGCCUACCAAGGCGAUGACGGGUAGGGGACCUGAGAGGGUGGCCCCCCACAAUGGAACUGAAACACGGUCCAUACACCUACGGGUGGCAGCAGUAGGGAAUAUUGGUAAUCUGGGAAACCGGGAACCAGCAACGCCGCGUGCGCGAUGAAGGCCUUCGGGUUGUAAAGCGCCUUUUAAAGGGAUGAGGAAGGACAGUACCUUUAGAAUAAGCCUCGGCUAACUACGUG